rnacentral:rRNA from 1 species
AUUGAACGCUGGCGGCAGGCCUAACACAUGCAAGUCGAACGAGUGGCGGACGGGUGAGUAAUGUCUGGGAAACUGCCUGAUGGCGGGGGAUAACUACUGGAAACGGUAGCUAAUACCGCAUACCAUCGGAUGUGCCCAUAUGGGAUUAGCUAGUAGGGGGGGUAAAGGCUCACCUAGGCGACGAUCCCUAGCUGGUCUGAGAGGAUGACCAGCAACAAUGGAACUGAGACACGGGCCAGACUCCGACGGGAGGCAGAAGUGGGGAAGAGGGCACAAGGGGCGCAAGCCUGAGGCAGCCAGGCCGCGGGUAUGAAGAAGGCCUUCGGGUUGUAAAGUACUUUCAGCGGGGAGGCGUUACCCGCAGAAGAAGCACCGGCUAACUCCGUGCCAGCAGCCGCGGUAAUUC